UGUGACAAGAAAUAACAAUACAGGACUUUUUGGUUUUGUAAUUGGAAUGAGUUAAGUAUAAACCCCUUUACAAGUAUCAAUUGGAGGGCAAGUCUGGUGCCAGCAGCCGCGGUAAUUCCAGCUCCAAUAGCGUAUAUUAAAGUUGUUGCAGUUAAAAAGCUCGUAGUUGGAUUUCUGUUAAUAAUUUAUAUAAAAUAUUUUGAUGAAUAUUUAUAUAAUAUUAACAUAAUUCAUAUUACUAUAUUUUUUAGUAUAUGAAAUUUUACUUUGAGAAAAUUAGAGUGCUUAAAGCAGGA
rnacentral:rRNA from 1 species